UACGUAGGGGGCAAGCGUUGUCCGGAAUUAUUGGGCGUAAAGAGCGUGUAGGCGGUCCGGUAAGUCAGCUGUGAAAGUCAAGGGCUCAACCCUUGAAUGCCGGUUGAUACUGUCGGGCUAGAGUCCGGAAGAGGCGAGUGGAAUUCCCGGUGUAGCGGUGAAAUACGUAGAGAUUGGGAAGAACACCAGUGGCGAAGGCGGCUAUCUGGACGGUUUCUGACACUAAGACUCGAAAGCGUGGGGAGCAAACAGG
rnacentral:rRNA from 1 species